CUGGCCCUGAAUCAAGGCUGUUGGUUUCAAGCAGAAGCCUAAAGAGAUGUCUUUCUAUGGUCUGUUGGCCAUUUCAGAACUUGGGCAGUGAAAUGGUCAAUUCAUUAGAAAGCAACAGCU
ensembl:snoRNA